CGGAAAUUGAGAUGUUGAUCAAAUGAACAGUGCAAGUAGAAACUAGAAAAAAGACAGGCCUUUUAUAGAUGCUUGUCACCUAAUGUUACUGAAGAGGGUUGGGAACCUCAGGGGAUCCUCAGGAUUAAAAGAAGCUGUAAAAAGAUGGUUCAUUCUACAUGGAGAGCAGAUCCUGGCCAUUGGUUAUGAAAUGGAGGUGGAAACUAAAGUCGAAGAGCGUAUUUAAGUUUGGAAGAACAUUAUGCAUUGUUAUAGACAAGUCCUGCUAUGAAGAGAAUAGCAGAACAGGUUCCUUCCAUUCUGUGGUUCAUCUCCUAGCCAUGGGGUCAUCUGCUUACAGCCAGUAGAAGAAGCGUAGAGAAGACAUGCUUACUUCUUUACCAUGAAGAAGUGAUUCCAUGUCACUUCCCACAUUCCACUGAUUAGAACAUUGCCAUAUCUGGAUGGAAGUAUGACCAGAAUAUACUGUCCCUGCCUGGGUAGCCACCCUGCAGUGACAAGUUUACACCUUGGAAGGGGAAACACAAAGGUUUGCUUUUGACAGCCAAUUACCACAGACAUCUUUGGCAAUUCACUAAGCAAUUCAUGGGGAUACUUCUGUCGGAGAAAUUUUCUGCUUGGUCUCUGAAACCUAUGGCUAAAUUCUCUAUAUCAUUCUGAUCCCUACUGCUACCUUAAG
rnacentral:lncRNA from 1 species